GACGAACGCUGGCGGCGUGCCUAAUACAUGCAAGUUGAGCGCUGAAGGUUGGUACUUGUACCAACUGGAUGAGCAGCGAACGGGUGAGUAACGCGUGGGGAAUCUGCCUUUGAGCGGGGGACAACAUUUGGAAACGAAUGCUAAUACCGCAUAAAAACUUUAAACACAAGUUUUAAGUUUGAAAGAUGCAAUUGCAUCGCUCAAAGAUGAUCCCGCGUUGUAUUAGCUAGUUGGUGAGGUAAAGGCUCACCAAGGCGAUGAUACAUAGCCGACCUGAGAGGGUGAUCGGCCACAUUGGGACUGAGACACGGCCCAAACUCCUACGGGAGGCAGCAGUAGGGAAUCUUCGGCAAUGGACGAAAGUCUGACCGAGCAACGCCGCGUGAGUGAAGAAGGGUUUCGGAUCGUAAAACUCUGUUGGUAGAGAAGAACGUUGGUGAGAGUGGAAAGCUCAUCAAGUGACGGUAACUACCCAGAAAGGGACGGCUAACUACGUG
rnacentral:rRNA from 1 species